UUAACGCUGAGAUACGAUGUCGAGCUACUACGGUAGUGAAGUCAUUGAUGCCAUGCUUCCAGGAAAAGCCUCUAAGCUUCAGAUUGUAAGGAAUCGUACCCCAAACCGACACAGGUGGUCGGGUAGAGAAUACCAAGGCGCUUGAGAGAACUCGGGUGAAGGAACUAGGCAAAAUGGUACCGUAACUUCGGGAGAAGGUACGCUCUUAUCAGUGAAGUCCCUUGCGGAUGGAGCAGACGAGAGUCGCAGAUACCAGGUGGCUGCAACUGUUUAUUAAAAACACAGCACUGUGCAAAAUCGUAAGAUGACGUAUACGGUGUGACGCCUGCCCGGUGCCGGAAGGUUAAUUGAUGGGGUUAGACUUCGGUCGAAGCUCUUGAUCGAAGCCCCGGUAAACGGCGGCCGUAACUAUAACGGUCCUAAGGUAGCGAAAUUCCUUGUCGGGUAAGUUCCGACCUGCACGAAUGGCGUAAUGAUGGCCACGCUGUCUCCACCCGAGACUCAGUGAAAUUGAAAUCGCUGUGAAGAUGCAGUGUACCCGCGGCUAGACGGAAAGACCCCGUGAACCUUUACUACAGCUUGGCACUGAACAUUGAACCUACAUGUGUAGGAUAGGUGGGAGACUAUGAAAUUGCGUCGCUAGAUGUGAUGGAGUCGUCCUUGAAAUACCACCCUUGUAGUUUUGAUGUUCUAACGUUGGCCCCUGAAUCGGGGUUACGGACAGUGCCUGGUGGGUAGUUUGACUGGGGCGGUCUCCUCCCAAAGAGUAACGGAGGAGCACGAAGGUGGGCUAAACACGGUUGGACAUCGUGUGGUUAGUGCAAUGGCAUAAGCCCGCUUGACUGCGAGAAUGACAAUUCGAGCAGGUGCGAAAGCAGGUCAUAGUGAUCCGGUGGUUCUGAAUGGAAGGGCCAUCGCUCAACGGAUAAAAGGUACUCCGGGGAUAACAGGCUGAUACCGCCCAAGAGUUCAUAUCGACGGCGGUGUUUGGCACCUCGAUGUCGGCUCAUCACAUCCUGGGGCUGAAGUCGGUCCCAAGGGUAUGGCUGUUCGCCAUUUAAAGUGGUACGCGAGCUGGGUUUAGAACGUCGUGAGACAGUUCGGUCCCUAUCUGCCGUGGGCGUUGGAAAAUUGAAAGGGGCUGCUCCUAGUACGAGAGGACCGGAGUGGACGAACCUCUGGUGUUCGGGUUGUCAUGCCAAUGGCAUUGCCCGGUAGCUAAGUUCGGAAUCGAUAACCGCUGAAAGCAUCUAAGCGGGAAGCGAGCCUUGAGAUGAGUUUUCCCUGGCACUAUAAGUGUCCUAAAGGGUUGUCGUAGACUACGACGUUGAUAGGCAGGGUGUGUAAGUGCUGCGAGGCAUUGAGCUAACCUGUACUAAUUGCCCGUGAGGCUUAACCAUACAACACCCAAGGGGUUU
rnacentral:rRNA from 1 species